CAAUAGCGUAUAUUAAUGUUGUUGCAGUUAAAAGCUCGUAGUUGGAUUUCUGACAGAAGCGACCGGUCCGAGCCGUAAGGUUCGUGUUACUUUGUGUUGUCUUUAGUCAUCCUUAUGGAGAACAAGUGUGGCAUUAAGUUGUUGUGCUUGGGAUCCAUAUCAUUUACUGUGAAAAAUUAGAGUGUUCAAAGCAGGCAAUCGCUGUGAAUAUAUUAGCAUGGAAUAAUAAGAUAGGACGUUGGUACUAUUUUGUUGGUUUGUAUACCAAUGUAAUGAUUAAGAGGGACAGUUGGGGGUAUUCGUAUUUACAUGUCAGAGGUGAAAUUCUUGGAUUUUGGAAAGACGAACUACUGCGAAAGCAUUUACCAAGGAUGUUUUCAUUAAUCAAGAACGACAGUUAGGGGAUCGAAGACGAUCAGAUACCAU
rnacentral:rRNA from 1 species